rnacentral:rRNA from 1 species
GUGUCAGCCGCCGCGGUAAGACGAAGGGGGCUAGCGUUGUUCGGAAUUACUGGGCGUAAAGCGAGUGUAGGUGGUUUGCCAAGUUGGGUGUGAAAGCCUUGAGCUCAACUCAAGAAAUGCACUCAGUACUGGCAGACUAGAGGACCGGAGAGGAUAGUGGAAUUCCCAGUGUAGUGGUGAAAUACGUAGAGAUUGGGAAGAACACCAGUGGCGAAGGCGGCUAUCUGGACGGUUUCUGACACUAAGACUCGAAAGCGUGGGGAGCAAACAGGAUUAGAUACCCCAGUAGUCC